rnacentral:rRNA from 1 species
AAUAGAUACCCUGGUAGUCCACGCCGUAAACGAUGAGUGCUAAGUGUUGGGGGGUUUCCGCUCCUCAGUGCUGCAGCUAACGCAUUAAGCACUCCGCCUGGGGAGUACGGUCGCAAGACUGAAACUCAAAGGAAUUGACGGGGGCCCGCACAAGCGGUGGAGCAUGUGGUUUAAUUCGAAGCAACGCGAAGAACCUUACCAGGUCUUGACAUCCCGGUGACCACUAUGGAGACAUAGUUUCCCCUUCGGGGGCAACGGUGACAGGUGGUGCAUGGUUGUCGUCAGCUCGUGUCGUGAGAUGUUGGGUUAAGUCCCGCAACGAGCGCAACCCUUAUUCUUAGUUGCCAUCAUUCAGUUGGGCACUCUAAGGAGACUGCCGGUGAUAAACCGGAGGAAGGUGGGGAUGACGUCAAAUCAUCAUGCCCCUUAUGACCUGGGCUACACACGUGCUACAAUGGACGGUACAAACGGUUGCCAACCCGCGAGGGGGAGCUAAUCCGAUAAAACCGUUCUCAGUUCGGAUUGUAGGCUGCAACUCGCCUAC